ensembl:snoRNA SNORD14 Small nucleolar RNA SNORD14
UCGCUGUGAUGACGUUUAUUCCAUCCGUUCGCAGUUUCCACCAGAGGUCGAAAGACCAAAGAGGGUUCAUUCCUUCCUUGGAUGUCUGAGCGA